rnacentral:rRNA from 1 species
UACGAAGGGGGCUAGCGUUGUUCGGAUUCACUGGGCGUAAAGGGUGCGUAGGUGGCGAGGUAAGUCGGAUGUGAAAGCUCGGAGCUCAACUCCGAAAUGGCAUUGGAAACUACCUUGCUCGAGGGUUGGAGGGGGGACUGGAAUUCUCGGUGUAGCAGUGAAAUGCGUAGAUAUCGAGAGGAACACCAGUGGCGAAGGCGAGUCCCUGGACAACUCCUGACACUGAGGCACGAAAGCUAGGGGAGCAAACAGG